ensembl:lncRNA
GUAAAGACUGGGUUUAUUUCAAACACUAAUUUUGUUAAAAAGAAAUGCAAGAUAGGAAUGCAUAUUAAACUUAUUAAACUAAUACCUCAAUAACUUUUGAGGAUAUUGCCUUAUAGAACUGUAUCACCUGAAAUGUUCCUGUCUCUGAGACAUCAAAUUAGACGUGUUUUGGUGCACAGUGCUCGUGGUACUAGUGUAUGUAUGUGGUACCACAGAUUUAUGAUAUGCCAGAAUAAAGGUAAAGCUGCUUAAAACCGCAUUAAUCAUCUAGUUAUGCACACAGCAAUGCAUAUCCCCUGUGGGAGAUAUGUAUAAUAUCUUUGUGUAAUAUAGGACACUCAUGUUUUGCAGACUUCAGACCAUCAGAGAAAUGCUAGAACUGGAAUUCUACAAUGAAAUAUUCCCAAAGAGACGAGAACUUCCAAACCUGGUUUUUUACUUGUAUGAAGAAGUGCUCAUGGGCCCAGAAGGCAGAAGUACUCAUUUAAUUGCUAAAUUCAGGUUUAUAUGUGGAACAGAGGAGUAGACUUGAAAUCAAAACUCUGGAUCCAGACACUGCUGGUAGGGAAAUUCAGACCUUUUGCAGAUAUAGCUACAUGCAUACAACACAUUCUCUCAUGAAUUUAUGCUCAGAUUAUAGGUAUUUACUUGAAGCUUCAAUUACUGGACUAUUGCACUCUCAUUUCCUGUAAGAGUUAGACACUGUCAGACUUUGAAAUGAAACUGUUUCAUGGAAGAUUUAUUACAUUUCUUAUCCUGUGCAUGCCCACUGACAUCAAGCAAUUCUGAGUGUCAGACAGUAGGACUCAGAGUUCUGCUUAAAAACUGUGGGCAAUUUAGUUCCACAGUUGAUCCCAUCUAAAGCAAACCAUGGCAUUAUAACAAAUGAAACAACAACAAAAACAACAACAAAAAACAGCUGUUAUCAAUGGCUGAAGCACAGUUUUGUACCAGACUGUUUACCAAACGAACUGUCCAUCAAUUAGUGGACUAGACAGUAUCUCCAUUUGGCAACUACUAUUUUCUCCUUUCUCUUCUGUAUGAUACCUUUGUGUAAAGAGAACAUUUGCUCCAGGAGAAAGAUCUUUAUCAUUUCCUUCUUACAUUCUGGGACUGAAGACUGCAUCCCCCAACUCCCAGAAGCCUGUGGCAGACAUCAGGCUGUUCAGCAUGUAGAUAGUGACUUUCCACUCUUCCUGGUGAAAUGAUGAUGGCAUAGCAAACACAACAAGAUUCAGGACAAGCAAGAAAAAGUACAAGAAGUUGAUCUUGUAGGUCAGUGAUAUCGGUAAUUCCCAAGCACAGAGAAGACCUAUCUGCUAGACUCUGGUCCUGGCCCACUGGAGUGAGAAAUAAAAGCAAGAAACAAUCCUGACAUUCACCAGUUUCUUUGUUGAGUUGGAGAGCUGAGCCUGUUUAUUUUAGACGUGCAACUUCUUAUUUAGGAAUUUCAGCCUCCUGACAAAUGCUACUGCUUCCAUGCAAUCAUUACUUCAUUGUUUCAUGGCUACAGGUGCACAAACACUGCCAUGCAACAGCAGUAACUACUCAGCUCUGGCAUGAGGCAACAAGUACUCUGUCAGUCAGCUCCUGGACAUGAUCCAGAGGAUGGUACAUGGCAGGGUUGGACCCCAAUAGUCAGGAUUGACUAGGUCACCCAUUUUUUUUUAGGGGAAGAGAGGUUAGCCAUAGCUGCCACAUUUGCUCUCAGACUGGCAACUCGGCCCAACGCUACACCCCUUCGCACAGCUCUAGCCUAUGAGACCAAAAAGGGGAGUCCUAUCUUGAACAAACAAGAAGCCUCUGUUGUUUAGGUCUGCUAAAGGCAGCAGACUGAUAAAUACAGAACAGAUGCAAUAAAAAAGAGUGAAAGCUAUCUCAAAUUAUCCUCUAUACUGACAAUCAUAAAGAAAACUAUAUGGAAUUGAACUGUACAUCAACAUACUGAUAAGUAUUUCAGGACCAUGCCUCAGGACUCCUGUAGCUAAGGGUAAAAGGAGAUUUGUCACCCACACAUACAACUCACAUGUGUAACAAUUGUGACAGAAUGUAAUUAUUACAUUUACUUUGGAAAGAAAAGUCAAUUUACUCUGUUGUUAAAAAAAAAAAAAAAAAAGUAAAAUUAAUGAAGAUGUAAUCCUGGUAAUUGCAGAAAUUGGUGAGAAUUCUGAGUUCACUAGGCUACUAAAUUAGAUUAAUCUCCUCAAAAUAUAUUACACUGAAAUAUCUAAUUUCUAUGCAUUUAUGAACAUGUGUUCUAUGGUAUAAUUCUGUUUAAUCUUCAGAGGCCUCUCAGAGGCCUCUAAAUUUAAUCUUAGGCAAAAUGGCAAAGUUUUGCCUGAGUAAAGAAUGCCAAAUAAAGCCCUAAAAAGGGAUUGCUAGGAUCAGAAUUACUUGUUGUUUCCAGCUGCUUUGUUCUGUACUGGUAUUGUAAAGAUGCCUUGAAUUCAGCUUAAUUGGAGAGUUAAGCUAGGUUUACAGCUGUUUUUUUUCUUAUUUGAAGAAGUGCAAAGCAGCUGAACAUUCCACACUGUUUGAAGAAAGUAUGCUUGCUCUGUAAGGGAAGAAAAAGCCUGUAUCAGCAGUGGAUUAUUUACAAAACUGUGGUCAGUUACAUUUAUUUAAGCAUUACUUACUGGUGUUACUUUAUAUUCAUGAAGUAUAUACAAUAUCUUUCACUCUGCAAAUUACCACUACAAUUAAUCAAAUUUGAAUCUGCAAAUGUUAUCAAAUGAUUCUAAGCUAACAGAAGAUUUUUUUGCUCAAUAGAUCAUUUAUGUUUGAAGUCUCUUUCUAUACACCUUAUAGCAGGAUAUGUAAAAAACCCCACGAACACUGCAUUCUCAAGACUGGAUGUUGCAGUUAAGUAGCUGAAAGAUAAAAUGAUUUAGUAAUUCCUAUAAUUCAACAUACUAUCCAAUUAUGUAUUUUCUCUUCCCCUGUUGUGCUUAUAGGAGCAGUAAACUUCCAAAAUUUAGCUUUUUAGAUUUUUUUUCUAAAUACUAAUCUGGAAUAGCUGGUGGGUUUUUUUGGGGGGGUGAAGGGGGAGGGUAUAUUUUAUGCUUAUUGCUGUUUAGAAAUGAUUUUGCACAUUUGAAAAUGGCAUGGUGCAGAAUUAUAUUCAGGAAGAUUUUGGGGCGCUCAAAAAUAACGCAAGUGUUUCUGCAACAAAAGAAACUAAAGAGUAAUUCUAUCUUUCUCCAGGGAGUUUAUUCUUUGGUAUUACAAAACUGAUAUUAAAAUUUUCAAUCCCUUAUUUCCCCAGAGAAAAAAAAAAUAGUUGAGUUCUACCCAUCCCAUCUUUGAUAGAUCAUAUUUGAUUAUUAAUUUAUUAACAUAAUUUAGAAGGCUGGUGAUUUUACGUCUGCACUGAUUGAUGAACUUUUUUGUGGUAGACUGUUUUGCAUGUAUUAUACAGCUUCUUUCUCAGGUGAAUUUCCUCUUAGUAGUAAACAAAACCUCUUCAAUUCCAAAAUCUGCAUUGCAAACCUAUACUCAGAUUUCAAUCUACUUUGAAUUAUUCAUAUUUUCUUUGAAACUUUCUUUUUUAAACUCCUUUACUGUCAAUGAUGGUAAAAGGUAGAAAAAAAAUAUUCCCACUACUCU